AACGAACGCUGGCGGCAUGCCUAACACAUGCAAGUCGAACGAGACCUUCGGGUCUAGUGGCGCACGGGUGCGUAACGCGUGGGAAUCUGCCCUUCGGUUGGGAAUAACUGAGAGAAAUUUCAGCUAAUACCUUAUAAUGUCUUCGGACCAAAGAUUUAUCGCCGAGGGAUGAGCCCGCGUAGGAUUAGGUAGUUGGUGGGGUAAUGGCCUACCAAGCCGACGAUCCUUAGCUGGUCUGAGAGAAUGAUCAGCCACACUGGGACUGAGACACGGCCCAGACUCCUACGGGAGGCAGCAGUGGGGAAUAUUGGACAAUGGGCGAAAGCCUGAUCCAGCAAUGCCGCGUGAGUGAUGAAGGCCUUAGGGUUGUAAAGCUCUUUUACCCGGGAUGAUAAUGACAGUACCGGGAGAAUAAGCUCCGGCUAACUCCGUG
rnacentral:rRNA from 1 species